CCUGGGCAAUGGCGGGCGCCCCUCCCCCAGCCUCGCUGCCGCCUUGCAGUUUGAUCUCAGACUGCUGUGCUAGCAAUCAGCGAGACUCCGUGGGAGUAGGACCCUCCGAGCCAGGUGUGGGAUAUAAUCUCGUGGUGCGCCAUUUUUCAAGCCCGUCAGAAAAGCGCAGUAUUCGGGUGGGAGUGACCCGAUUUUCCAGGUGUUCCUGGACAGCAAGUGAGUGACUUGCUCACAGGCGGUAAUUCAGGGACCCAGGUUUCUUCUACCUGGUAGCUCUACUGUCCUUCAGAACCUCAGAGCCCUGUGCAUUCAGCCAGCAGGAGAAAGACCACUACUAAGGUCAUUCACUUUGGGAGAAGCCAGUCUUCAUGCCAUGAGGACGUUCAGGCAGCCCUGUGGAGAGAACCACAUGGAAAGGAUCUGAGGUCUCUCACCAGCACCAAUUUGCCAGCUAUGGGAAUGGGCCACCUUGGAAGGAGACUGUCCAGCCCAAGUGAAGGCUGCAGAUAACUGCAGCUUUGGCCAACAUUUGGCUAUAUUGCUUUGGGAAAUCUCAAGCCAGAACCAUCUGGCCAAGCUGCUCUUAAAUUCCUGAUCCACAGAAGUUUUGGAAGGUAAUAAAUGUUUAUUGUUUUAAGGCACCAAGUUUCAGGGUGAUUUGUUACCAGUAAU
rnacentral:lncRNA from 1 species